CUCCUUGCAGAGGAAGACUGAUGCUAGUUAUUUGUUUCCCACUGACUGCCUCAUGUCCUCCUCUAGGGGAG
ensembl:miRNA gga-mir-3539 gga-mir-3539